GCCUGACCGCUGGAUUGCCUCGCUCCAGGAGGGCGCGGCUGCCUCCCCCGACGCUGGGGAAAUCAGUGCUCUCGACAGGGAUAGGGGUCUGCCUGCCAGGAGCCAUUCGGGGCCCACGGGGGAGCCGCCUGGCCCUCGUUAGGCAAGGUCCCUGGGAAAGCUGCCCCCCACAGGAGAGCGUGUUCCCGCCCGCGCGCUGGACGUGCCGGGGAGCACAGAGAGGCUCUUCCCGCUCGCAGCACAGAUGGAAACGCUCUCGCUCUGCGGCCUGGGCUGGGAGGCAGGGGAGGGCCCCAGAGCCCUGCCAGCCCGCAAAGCUGGGAGGAUUUUCCUCUCAAAAACGAUACCGCUGAUUAAACUGAAAACUUCUAAGGUCACGGAGGACGUUUAUCCGGGCUGGGGCGGGGAAUGGGAGGGCUGGAGGCGUCACCUGAUGUUAUAAGCUACUAAAAGGCAGCGGACUCUGGCCGGGAGGCAGGCGCUUCAUUGCAGCUUAGGGAUGAAUACAUAAACCUGGGCGGCUAUUUUUACACUGGCUGAAACAGAGAGCGUGUGUGUGGCAGGGGAGAGGACGCAAGCAGCCCUCCCCCAUUCAUCCCCUGAUCUUCCCCUUCCAUCUGGAGAGUUACUCCUCAGAACCGAAGCAUUUUUAUUUUUAUUUUUUGAAAUCAGGGAAGGGAAAAGGAAUGCAGAUCAAAACGUUUCCUAAAUGGUAAAAAUAAAUGAGAUAGCAGCAUUCUGAAUUCUCACGCCUUGGUACUCUCAGUCCUUCCUCCCCUUGUGUGCAGUCUUUUGAAGUCCAAGGUUGUCGGUCUGAGUUUGUCUUUUCCUGCUCAGGAAACAUGGAAUGGCUUCUGCAAGGUUUGGGCCUGCAGAGAGCUGGAGGAGACAGAGAAAAGAGGAGACUUUUUGCCAAAAAUGCAUUCUCGAUCCCGGCGUGUGCCUGUGCACUGUUGAGUGUGACUUUGUUCUGUUAGGACUUAAAAGAAAGCUCUGCUUCUUUAAAUAGGAAUUUUCAGACCAUGAUAAGCACUGAGAAAGCAGAAGAUUGUCCAGGAAGGGUGAUUGCUUUGAAUUUUCACCUGAUUUAGACCCACUGAAGCCAUUGCCUGUGCUUUCUUGUCAGAAUAAAUUUGGAGCUGAACUCACCAUACCCAAGAGGGAGGCGUGCUCGGGGUAGGGCUGUGAGCUGUAUGGGGAAUUCUUGCUGACAUCAAAUCGUUUCAGAUCACUCAAUUUACUUUGAUUUCGUUCAACGUCAUUUCAUUUUCUUUCCAAGUCCUCUAAGAAGUCUGGAAAAGGAGACACUGAAAAUAAUUGCAAAACUUAAGGCAUGAAAUGAAAUAUCUCCUAAAAUUAAAGUAAGGUUGUAGAGGUUCACCAUCUUAAGGAUUUGUAUAGAUGACCUUUUAGCAAUUUUUCAUUUGAGAAUUAUGGAACUACAAACACACACACACACACACACCAAAACCCCGCAAAAAGGAAACUUCAUUAGGAAGGGAAGGUUACCUGCAAAGCUCUUCAUUCAAUGUGUCAUUUCUAAGAUUCACUAGAUUGGAAUGAGGAUAUAGAGUGGGAAUGUGUGGGGUGGGCAAGAAGCAGGG
rnacentral:lncRNA from 1 species